UAAUACGAAGGGGGCUAGCGUUGCUCGGAAUUACUGGGCGUAAAGGGCGCGUAGGCGGAUGCUUAAGUUGGGGGUGAAAGCCCAGGGCUCAACCCUGGAAUUGCCUUCAAUACUGGGCAUCUUGAGUACGGGAGAGGUGUGUGGAACUCCGAGUGUAGAGGUGAAAUUCGUAGAUAUUCGGAAGAACACCAGUGGCGAAGGCGACACACUGGCCCGUUACUGACGCUGAGGCGCGAAAGCGUGGGGAGCAAACAGGAUUAGAUACCCUGGUAGUCCACGCUGUAAACGAUGAGAGCUAGUUGUCGGCACGCAUGCGUGUCGGUGACGCAGCUAACGCAUUAAGCUCUCCGCCUGGGGAGUACGGUCGCAAGAUUA
rnacentral:rRNA from 1 species